GACGAACGCUGGCGGCGUGCUUAACACAUGCAAGUCGAACGGAAAGGCCCUGCUUUUGUGGGGUGCUCGAGUGGCGAACGGGUGAGUAACACGUGAGUAACCUGCCCUUGACUUUGGGAUAACUUCGGGAAACUGGGGCUAAUACCGGAUAGGAGCUCCUGCUGCAUGGUGGGGGUUGGAAAGUUUCGGCGGUUGGGGAUGGACUCGCGGCUUAUCAGCUUGUUGGUGGGGUAGUGGCUUACCAAGGCUUUGACGGGUAGCCGGCCUGAGAGGGUGACCGGCCACAUUGGGACUGAGAUACGGCCCAGACUCCUACGGGAGGCAGCAGUGGGGAAUAUUGCACAAUGGGCGGAAGCCUGAUGCAACAACGCCGCGUGCGGGAUGACGGCCUUCGGGUUGUAAACCGCUUUCGCCUGUGACGAAGCGUGAGUGACGGUAAUGGGUAAAGAAGCACCGGCUAACUACGUGCCAGCAGCCGCGGUGAUACGUAGGGUGCGAGCGUUGUCCGGAUUUAUUGGGCGUAAAGGGCUCGUAGGUGGUUGAUCGCGUCGGAAGUGUAAUCUUGGGGCUUAACCCUGAGCGUGCUUUCGAUACGGGUUGACUUGAGGAAGGUAGGGGAGAAUGGAAUUCCUGGUGGAGCGGUGGAAUGCGCAGAUAUCAGGAGGAACACCAGUGGCGAAGGCGGUUCUCUGGGCCUUUCCUGACGCUGAGGAGCGAAAGCGUGGGGAGCGAACAGGCUUAGAUACCCUGGUAGUCCACGCUGUAAACGGUGGGUACUAGGUGUGGGGUCCAUUCCACGGGUUCCGUGCCGUAGCUAACGCUUUAAGUACCCCGCCUGGGGAGUACGGCCGCAAGGCUAAAACUCAAAGGAAUUGACGGGGCCCCGCACAAGCGGCGGAGCAUGCGGAUUAAUUCGAUGCAACGCGUAGAACCUUACCUGGGUUUGACAUGGAUCGGGAGUGCUCAGAGAUGGGUGUGCCUCUUUUGGGGUCGGUUCACAGGUGGUGCAUGGCUGUCGUCAGCUCGUGUCGUGAGAUGUUGGGUUAAGUCCCGCAACGAGCGCAACCCUUGUUCACUGUUGCCAGCACGUUAUGGUGGGGACUCAGUGGAGACCGCCGGGGUCAACUCGGAGGAAGGUGGGGAUGACGUCAAGUCAUCAUGCCCCUUAUGUCCAGGGCUUCACGCAUGCUACAAUGGCUGGUACAGAGAGUGGCGAGCCUGUGAGGGUGAGCGAAUCUCGGAAAGCCGGUCUCAGUUCGGAUUGGGGUCUGCAACUCGACCUCAUGAAGUCGGAGUCGCUAGUAAUCGCAGAUCAGCAACGCUGCGGUGAAUACGUUCCCGGGGCU
rnacentral:rRNA from 1 species